GCGAGUCGAGAGGUGAAAGACCUCGGCGUACUGCUCAGUAACACGUGGAUAAUCUACCCUGAGGAGAGGGAUAACCCCGGGAAACUGGGGAUAAUACCUCAUAGGUUAUGGAGGCUGGAAUGCACCAUAACCCAAAGCUCCGGCGCCUCAGGAUGAGUCUGCGGCCGAUUAGGUUGUUGUUGGGGUAACGGCCCAACAAGCCUGUAAUCGGUACGGGUUGUGGGAGCAAGAGCCCGGAGAUGGAUUCUGAGACAUGAAUCCAGGCCCUACGGGGCGCAGCAGGCGCGAAAACUUUACAAUGCGGGCAACCGUGAUAAGGGAACCCCGAGUGCCCGUAUACGCGGGCUGUUCAGAUGCUUAAAACACAUCUGGAGAAAGGGCCGGGCAAGACCGGUGCCAGCCGCCGCGGUAAUACCGGCGGCUCGAGUGGUGGCCACUAUUACUGGGCUUAAAGCGUCCGUAGCUGGGUUGUUAAGUCUUCUGGGAAAUCUGCCGGCUCAACCGUCAGGCGUUCAGGAGAUACUGGCAAUCUAGGGACCGGGGGAGGUGAGAGGUACUCCGGGGGUAGGAGUGAAAUCCUGUAAUCCUCGGGGGACCACCUGUGGCGAAGGCGUCUCACCACAACGGCUCCGACAGUGAGGGACGAAAGCUGGGGGAGCAAACCGGAUUAGAUACCCGGGUAGUCCCAGCUGUAAACGAUGCGCGUUAGGUGUGUCGAUAACCACGAGUUAUCGAGGUGCCGAAGGGAA
rnacentral:rRNA from 1 species